rnacentral:rRNA from 1 species
UACGGGGGGGGGCAAGCGUUGUUCGGAAUUACUGGGCGUAAAGGGCUCGUAGGCGGCCAACUAAGUCGGAUGUGAAAUCCCCAGGCUUAACCUGGGAACUGCAUCCGAUACUGGAUGGCUUGAAUUCGGGAGAGGGAUGCAGAAUUCCAGGUGUAGCGGUGAAAUGCGUAGAUAUGCGGAGGAACACCGAUGGCGAAGGCAAUCCCCUGGGCCUGCACUGACGCUCAUGCACGAAAGCGUGGGGAGCAAACAGG